UUAUCAUGGAUUGCAAACAAAAAAACCCCAACCUUAAUUAUGUGAUCACAUCUCUGCUAUGCCAAAAUCUAUCCUAUUUUAGGUUAAAACCAUUAUUCCAUGUCCUGUCACUACAGGCCUUGGUUAAAAAGUACCUUUGUUGUUCUCAUAAGCUCCUUUUAAGUAUAGAAAAGCUGUAACAAGGUGUCCUGGGAGCCCCCUCCUCUCCUGGCUGAGCUCCCCCAGCUCUCCCAGGCUGUCCCCAGAGCAGAGGGGCUCCAGCCUUGGGACCAUCUCCAUGGCCUCCUCUGGGCUCCCACCAGCAGCUCCCCAUCCUUCCUGCUGGUCCCCAGAGCUGGAGGCAGUCCCACCUGGGCAGAGAGAGAAGAAUCAGCUCCCUGGAGCUGGCCCCAGAACCAAUGGAUUUUCUGGGCUGCCAGCACACACAGCUGGCUCACAGUCAGUGUUCCAUCCACUCAUAUCCCCAGUCUUGGCAGGACUGCUCUCAAUAUCUCCAUCCCCAGCCUCCACUGGUACUGGUGGUUGUCCCAUUCCAGGUUCUGUGGUUCCUUAAUGAAGGCAAAAUAUGAUCUUAAGCAACUGAACAUUCUUCAUUCAUCCUGGAUCUGAAAAACUCAAAAAAGUGUUCAAAGUAAGAUCAUGUGAACAGGGAGCACAACAGCAGAGGAAUCAGAAAAAUCUGUGUGGUUUUUUAAUCUGAGCAGGGAGGUUCAGAUGGCAUUAGGAAGCAUUUCUUUAACAGAACAGCUGGUGAAACAAUGUAACAGACUUUCUAGAGAGAUGGUCAAUGCCCCAGGCCUGUGGCUGUUUAGGAGGCAUUUGAACAUUGCCCUUAAUGCCUUAAAGCUUUACCUUUUGGUCAGCCCUGAAGCAGUUGAGCAAUUGGAUUAGAUGAUCCUUGCACGUCCCUUUCAAGUGGAACUAUUCUAUUCUAAUAUAGAAAAAUAUCUUCUGGUUUCAUUACUGUCAAAGGUGAAGGACUUUUAGCACCUUCCCAGGUCUGUUCCACCCCGUGUCCAGGUCUGCACUUAGAAAGGCUACAUCUCCAACAUCACCCACCUAAGGAGCCCUGGGACCUGCAGUGGCUUCAGCAGCCUCUCUCACAGCCAUGGGACACUAUGAACAAUAUGCAGCUUUUAGAACUCCGUGAUUGUGAGAAACAUCAUCCUUCACCUGUAUUACACACUACUGCAGAUCUUUGUUUUAUUUGCACAAUUGAUUAUUGCUCAAAUGAAGAAGCAAAACAUAAGGGUUAAGUGUUGUUUACAGAAAAUUAACACAUCUCACAGCACUUACUUUGUGCCUGAGUGAUUUUGUGCAUCACAGGUUUUAUAUUCAUUCUUGCUGUAGCCUGUAGCCUUGGAGACUGAGAUACAGAGCCCAUCAUGCUGCAAAGUCACUACUUGUUGUACAAACAUCACCUACAAACUUCAUCUUCCCUUCUAGAGCAAAUAAUUAGUCACAUAAAUUCUUUGAAAUUCUGCGCCUUGAAGUCCUUGGAGUGUGUUACUUGAGAUUUCAAUAACAAAACAGGUAAGAAAUUUCUGCAUUAAUGAUGGGGAGAAGAAAGAAAAAAAUGAAACGAAGCAGAGAAAGAAGAGGUUAUUUCCUGUUCUUAUCCUGGGGAAGGAAGCAGAGAGCUCUUACAAAGAAACAACUGAGCACAGGAGGAGGAAGGAGUUUGAGGAAUGAGCUAAAACAGGUCAAAUCCACCUGAAACAAAGGACAAGGAAAUAAGCCAAACUUUGAACCUUCCCAUUUUAAAUUAGGAAGAUGGCAAAGUGAAAGUGGGAGGAACCAGUGCAAGAGGUGAAGGAGAUCCUAGAAGUCUUUAAAGGCUGAGGAUUUUUGGGGUUUAGAUUUUAAUGGAAGAGACGGAGAAAAUUAAUCAAGGGUAGAGAACAUCAGAGCAUGAAGAGAAUUAAUCAGUGGAGAAGUGUGAGCCAUGUCUGAGCAGAAAAAGAGAAAGAGCCAGGAACUGAAAAAAGAAAGCCUGGCAGGGUGGAUCUGGUGACAGUAACACCAAAAAGCUGAACACAGCACUGCUCCGAAGAGAAGCUGAAAGGAAGCAGAGCAGAGGGAAAGGCAGCAAUGGAAAUGCAGCAAUGCAGCACUCCCCUGGCACCUGACUCAGUUCAAACAACAUAAGUUAUCAAUUUAGACCUGAAAAAUGUCAAAUAGAAGCAUUGAAGCUGCUAAAGGGCUCAGCACAUAGACAGGGAGACCAUGAAGGUGCCAGAGACAGAUCCAUUCCUUACAACGCACAUUUCAGAAACAGCAGGAAAAAGCAAGGUGAUAUUAAAAUCAGCAAAAUGACCAGUUGAAUAAGCAGAAAAGAUGGAAAGAAAUAUUAAUCAAAUUAAGGGGGACAGAAGGAAGCAGCAGCUCUUGCAAAUGGAUGCAGAAUUUAAAUUUAUACUUACCAUGGGAAAACAAAAACAAGGCAGAGAAAGGAGCUAGCAAAUGCAAUGGGAACCACUAACAACAGAUAAGGGUAACAAGAUGGAAAACUAGCAUCAGCAAGAUGGGAGGAAUAAAAAAAGUAAGAACGGCAUAUAAACAAGAACCCUCCCUCAAAGCAUUUGAAAAAUACUAACCAGACAAUUUUCAUGGUAGGACCUCAGGGUGCGCGACUGUACCAGAGGCAAAGUGCCUGAUUGCAGGGGAAGGCAUAAACAUUGAGACUAAACGGAAUUUCAAGAAUGUCUUCCUAAGGGUUUGUUAAACUAUGGGAGAGGGCAGAAAAAGUACUAGAAAUUAUAACUAUGUGUUAACAGUCCAUAAAGCUAAAAAUUUAUGAAAAAUGUAUAAAAAACAAAAACCUUUAGGCAUCACUCCAGCAAGAACCCCUUCCCACAGGAUAAGAACAUGCUCCAUUGCUGCAGUCCCCCUCCAUGUGACAGACUGGAUCAGGACUGCACUGUUUAUCAAGCCUUGCAGCUGCCAGCAAACUGUCUGCUCUGCACUGGUGGCAGAAAAUUAAAACCUUCCUUGAUGCUGCUUUCUCCUCUCAGAAUAGAAAGUGCCUUCCUCCCCAUUAUGAAACCCAUUCCCAGCCCAGAACAAAGGCUGGAAGUUUCUGGCAACUGCAGAUCUCACCACAAGAAAGCAGGGGCCAGCACAAUUUAUACUGUUUCCUCUCUUGCCAUCCAUGUGUGGGGCCCCAAAGUGAUGACAUCGUGGCUCAGAUGCUGUAAGGCCAAACUCAUAGACCAGAUACUCCCUGGAGACUGAGUAGAUGUCUGUGCCAGGUUAGGAGAUCCUGGAAGCAGAAAUAACAGCAGGAUGAAACUGUGAGAAGAUGUUGCAGAACUUCCCAUUUUACAGACAGGGAACUGAGACAGAGGUGACGACGAAACAAUGGAAGAGCCAGAUUUUUGAAAGCUUUCAAGUCAUCAAAGAAACUGUGAAACAGUCAGUGAGUAACGUGUGCAUUGGGAGAGAAGAACAAGGCAGGGUCUUUAUUGCUUAAAUACAAAUGGAGCUCUGAGAGGCUUGAAUCUGCUGAUCAAAGCAGCUGCAGGAACAGCACCCCAAACACCAGGUCCCUAAAUACAGGCGUAAAGGUUACUUCCAGAACUUCAGCUUCCCUCAGUGGAAGUUAAAGGCUUCUGUCUUGCUCAGUAACUCUUUGAGAAAAUUCACACUGUGCAAUAACUCAAACUGCAGUUUGGCCUGUACAGAUGAUGCCUAGAGAGGCAGAUGUAGAACAGAGGCUGGAGAGAGUGAAAGGAAUAAAGCAGGCAUUUAUUAAAAGGCCUUUAAAGAAUACACCUUUGGGCAGUACAAGAGCCUGGCUGUGGCUACACCCAAGAUGGACCCUGGGUCAUGAGUUCUCACACUUUUAUAGGUUUUGGUCCAUUUCCAUAUUGGGGUUCAUUGUCCAGUUACAGCUCCAGGUUAUGAGGUCCCAUCCUUCCAGGUUGCUCUCCUCAAUUCCCUGUUGUUUGCACUUUUUGGGGCUGAAGCUGCACCAGUGUCCUUGGUUUUGGGGCUGGAAAAUGAUUGUUUUGUGUGACUGAGCUGUGAGGGGAGCUUGCUGACACUUUAUAUGAAGUUCAGAGUAAUACACUAAGGCAGUACAGAAUCUGGAAAAUAUGAAAUUUAAAACUUAAGGCAUCAGAGAGAAAAAGUAAAUUGAUCCAGUGUUUCAAGGUCUCUGAACAGCACAGAUAUACCUGCAACACAGCAGCACUUGCAGUCUCAGUUUAUCAGGAGUACCAUGCUAUGAGUAUAAUCCAUGUUUAUUCAUAAAAUUAAGAGAAUCACUGAAUGUAAAUGCAACAGAUACAUUUGGUAAUGUGUCCUUAAAAUAGGGAAAGCAGCAGGUAGCCCAGGAGCUCUGUGGUAGGUGAGCAGAUGAAGAGUGCUCCCACUGAGCAAAAGGAAGGCAGGUGGAGCUCAGCAUCCCUUGAUGUGGAGCUUGAGUGUGUCCUGCAAAAAGACAUAAUUUUCAAAACUCUAGUAACUUUUCCAAAAUUACUGAUUCCAGCAGUGCCUAAAGUCAAGCUCUUGUCCUUCAACAUGAAUUGGAUAACACAACUUUAAGAAGUUCUAAAUUACUAAUGCUUAGAUUUUAAAAGACCACAAUAUUGCAUAAAAUUGAAAAGGAAAGCAAAAUAUCCUGGGAUAGCAAUGUACCUCCACUGGUGGUAUUCCAAACAGGCAUAAAUUACAUUUCUUGGAAAGAUACAUUGGCUGUAGAGUUAAUGGCAGUCAGCAUUCCCUCUGAUAAUGUGUGGCCAACCCUUCCAUUAUUCUGUCCAGGGCUGAUACUGUCAAAUUGAACAAUUCCACAAGACAUGUCAUUUUCAUCCUAUAAAUAUUAGCACAUUGGUACUUCCCCCAGAUCUUCUGGUCCAAGUUCUCUGCAAAACAAGAACAACAGAAAAACAAAAACUCCAUCUUCAGCAUUCUUGUUUGCCACAUCUCCUCAAGUGUUGGUUCACAAAUCUAUGUAAUUACACCACCAGUGCAAAGCCUAUCCCUUCCUCCUCUACUGCAGUCUCCACAAGGCAAUAAAACAAACCACUCUUGAAAGUCCUCAGAACUGUUUCCUGCACUUCCUAACUUCUGUGACAAGACAGAGAAUGAUUGUUUCUUCUCUCCACUUCUGACAUCACUGCCAUUAUAUCUAAGGAUAGCUUCUAAAAUUCCAUUCUAUCACUCUUUUUGAUGGAGACAAGAUUCCAGUGAACAUCAAAGAAUGAGAAAAUCAGUUUUUUCCUGGACAGUGAUGGGGUUUUUUGGAGAUGUUUACAUUCAUAACAAUGACCAGGAAGCAAGUCUCCUGUGACCAAGUUUCUGUGAUUGCUUUCAGUGAUCAAGGCCAGGUGGAUGGGGUUUUAAGCAACAGGGUCUAGUAAAAGCUGUCCUUGCCCGUGUCAGAGGGGUGGACUAGACAAUUCUUAAAAGUCUCCUCCAACCUAAACUAUUCUGUGAUUCUGUGACUGUAUCUUAUUUUAUUACUCACAGCCUUUUUGAUGACACAGAUGUAUUUUGUGCAGUGUUUAUACUGUACGCUCACAACUUCCAUAUGCAUAACUCACAAGUUGCGUUGCUUAGCUCUGUAUUUUACUGCCCUUAGCCAGACAAGGUCUUGCCCCAUCACUGAGGCCUCUCUGUGACAUUACAUUACAAUAAAAUGAUUGAGAUCUGAAGCUCAAACCAUAUGUUCUCCCAGAUCAAAAUCUUACCACGUUGUUCUAGACUGGCAAAUGAAUACAGCCCUCUACUCUUACAGUAAUGGGGAGCAACAGGACAACAUCCAUAAUGCUACAACCAAGUAUUUUAGCUAGCACUGCUUCCAUAGCACAGCACUCCUGCUUAGGAAAAUACAGAUCUGUAACUGUUCCCCAGGUGCAAGCCCAUACAGACACCAUGCUGAUAAUGAACUGGUAACAUUCAGCUUGCACCUGAGUGGUUGAGAAAGCAGAGCAGGUAAGGGGAAAUGCUUAUAGAGAACCAGAAGCACACAUCUUGUGUUGGUGAGUCAGCCUGUAGAGAGACUCAAGACUUCUUUGGUUCACCUGGAAUUGAAGUGCCUUCACCCUGUGGGUACAGAGUGCCCAUGUAUGGGGACAAUAUCACCCAUUCUCCUCUGUCCUUGAGCAGUGCUGGCGUGUCCCUCUCAGGCUGGGCAGCCUGGCUGUGACUCUGGAGUGCUCCCUGCUCCUCCUCUGGGGUUCUGUAACAUCAGCUCUGAGGUCAGGUGGGCAGGGCCCCCUCCCAAACAUAAGGGAUUAUAGAUAGCUGCUGCAGCAGAUGUUUUUCAUUGUGCACCUCCCCCUCUGCACCCAGUGCGGGUGGGAGCAGCAUGGGGCCCUGUGCUGCCCUGCUACGUGUUUCUGUUAUUUGGGGUGAGCUGUGCAUUCCUCACAUGAUUUGAAUGUCAUGAAUGUCAUCCCUGGGGGGAUCCUUCAAGGAAUGGGACACACAACAAGAAAUCUGGAGGAGAUUCCUACCUAUGACAGCAAUCAGGCCACAAAACACCUUUCCAAAACUAUUAAGGAUGUAGAAACAAAAGUCCCAUCUUCUUUCAAAUGAGAGCCUGAUAAAGUUGUGAGUGAUUACAGGAUUUUAUACCUGUGACAGCUAAGGAUCAGACACUGACAGACCCAAGAAGGGCUUCACACUGCCUUCUCAUCCUUUAACAUGGAAAUCUGACCCAGACUCCCUUCCUGGCAUGCAAAUGUGGUACCUUGUGGUACCUUGUAUGUGGUACCAAAGUAGAAUAAUCUCCCAGACUGCUCCACCCCUAUCCCCAAAACAAUUUGGGUCUGUGUUAAACCCAAGAUGCCCAGUUCAUGUUUCAGUGUCAGCUCAGAGUUUCCACAGAAUAUUGUUAUGGAUAUAGAAACACAGGACUGAAAGGACUUCUGGGAUGGCUGGAGGCACUGACCUCAGUGGCCAUUCCCCAACUUGCUGCCAUGCAUUUUAAUCCAUCACAAAUUUCAGGCUGCCAGUGUAAUUGGAAAUCCUGCAGGUUCUGAAGGGCCAGCAGGACAGGCUAGCAUUCCCUGUAAGUUUUAACCUGUAACUAAAGCAAAAUAUAAUUUCCAGAUCCAUAGCUCAGCUAUGACAGGAUCAACAAAAUCAUGAACAGUUAGGAAAAGGGAACUUGAAGGAAAGGGAAGCUUUCAUGCCUGCAGGAACAGAACACCCAUCUAGAAUACAAAUAGAAAUACAGGAAAUCCCAUAAGGCUCUGCAUCCUGUGCUGUAACUGUGGCCACUGUGCUGGCUACCUCAGAAUCUGCCAGGAAUCACCUGGAAAGCAACACUAAUAAAAAUGCAUGUCAGAGAAACACUUCCAUGUGGUCGUUGGUUAAAUCUAGCACUGGGCUGAGGACUGAGCCUUAUGGUCCCAGUAGUAAAUAUACAUAGUGGUCAGUAUGCCACUUUAAAAGUGACACUUUGAGAUUGUAAUUUAUUUAAAGCAAAAUACACUAAUUUGUGGGUUGCAAGAUGUGUAGAGACACUGCAUACAACAAUGGCUGAAUAGACUGAAUAGACUACCUCUACCACUACCACCAGACUACCACCGCUCCUCUGUAACGCCCGGUAAAAAUCCCGAAGAGGAACCAUCCCCACGGUCUCCACGGACACUCCUCCGGCCCUGCCCAGCUGUGCUUAGCACGGCAGCCUGGGAACGCAGCUGGGUCCCCGGACAGCCGUGCAACCAGCAGAGCCAUCCCGCACCGAGCCCCGAGCCCCGCGCCCCUGCAGGCGCUUACCGCGCCGGGGCGGCCCGGUGCCCGGUGAAAUCCGUGCCUGGUGCCCAGUGAGCUCCGUGCCGGCUGCGUUCCGUGCCCGGUGCCCCGUGCGUUCCGAGCCCGGUGCCCCGUGCGUUCCGUGCCCGGUGCCCGGUGUGUUCCGUGCCCGGUGCCCCGUGCGUUCCGAGCCCGGUGCCCCGUGCGUUCCGAGCCCGGUACCCCGUGCGUUCCGUCUCUCUCCCGACGAGCG
rnacentral:lncRNA from 1 species